GAUGAACGCUGGCGGCGUGCCUAAUACAUGCAAGUCGAGCGAACAGACGAGGAGCUCGCUCCUCUGACGUUAGCGGCGGACGGGUGAGUAACACGUGGAUAACCUACCUAUAAGACUGGGAUAACUUCGGGAAACCGGAGCUAAUACCGGAUAAUAUAUUGAACCGCAUGGUUCAAUAGUGAAAGACGGUUUUGCUGUCACUUAUAGAUGGAUCCGCGCCGCAUUAGCUAGUUGGUAAGGUAACGGCUUACCAAGGCAACGAUGCGUAGCCGACCUGAGAGGGUGAUCGGCCACACUGGAACUGAGACACGGUCCAGACUCCUACGGGAGGCAGCAGUAGGGAAUCUUCCGCAAAGGGCGAAAGCCUGACGGAGCAACGCCGCGUGAGUGAUGAAGGUCUUCGGAUCGUAAAACUCUGUUAUUAGGGAAGAACAAAUGUGUAAGUAACUAUGCACGUCUUGACGGUACCUAAUCAGAAAGCCACGGCUAACUACGUG
rnacentral:rRNA from 1 species